AAUGUGCUCUGCUGGAGUUUUGCAAGUGAGCAUAGGAUAGGGGAUCCCUCAAGCACUGGAAAGCCAUGACAUGAUCUCCUCAGAGCCUUCUCUUCUCCAUGCUCAACAAUUCUAGCUUCCUUAGUCAGCCUUCAUAGGAUAGGCACCCAGAACUGAAUGCAGUACUUGAAGUGAGGCCUCCCAAGAGAAGGUUAGAGGGAAAGUAUCAGUUGCCUUGGUAAGAAGAAGCUGCACUUCUUAUGAUGAUAGCUCAUAUUCAGUAUUUCAUCUACCAAUACCCCCAAGGCCUUCUUCACAGAGUUGUCACUUUACUCAUCAUCCAAACUGAAUUAAUGGUUGAGAUUGCUUUGGCCCAGAUGCAGGACCUUGCACUGGGCUUUGUUGAACUUCACGAGAUUUGUCUGGGCCUACCUCUCAAGCCUGUCAAGGUCUCUCUGGAUUGCAUCCAUUCCUUUCUGUGCAUCAACUGUGCCACUCAGCUUGGUAUACUCUCCAAACUUUCCAAGAGUGCACUCAAUGUCACUGUCCAUGUUACCAAUAAUGCUGCUAAGUAGUGCCAGUUCUGAUGCAAAACCUCAAGAAACACCAUUAAUUAUUGGAAUUCCUCUGCACAUUGGGGAAUCGCAAUCUUUAACUGCAACCAUCCAGCCAAUUCCUUAUCCACUGAGUGGUCCAUCCAUCAAAUUUAUGUCUCCCCAAUUUAGAGACAUGUA